CAAGAUGAAAGGACUACAAAAAGGUAGGCUAAAUUUAAUUUAUGAUAUUUUUGGCUGAUAUGUAUUACAAAUGAACGCAAAAUUUGCCCUUUUCAGUUUGAAAUACUUGUAAUCAUUUUGCAACUAUCCAAGUAAUUGUUGAAACAGUGUAGAGACUGAUGGCCGAUGAAGAAUGGGGCAAAUGUGAAAAAAAAGACUGGGUCGAGGAAGUCGGUGAGAAGAAAGAUGGCGGCUGUUUUGAUCGUGCAGGUUGAGCAGAUGGUGGUGGUGUCACAUGGUCUGAACCUACUCCGGUCAAGACAGCAUCGAAUCCAGCUGAAAUGCUUCCUCCUGGAAUUGUACACGUGUAUGAUGGGUCUUCUGUCACAUUGAACUGGAGCUACAGUCUGACGUUAGGCCUAGGCCUUGGUGGUCUCGUAAUUAAAUUCAACGGGUUUGGCACAGUCAGCAUUAGAUCAGAAGAUGGUUCAACUGGCAUGGUCGUGUCAGUGAUAAUUUUCAGAAACGGUUCAGCGUAAGCUGACAACUCCAGGAAGAAUUUCUCUGUCUAUCUCUGCGGUGGCUGUUACGGACGACAUUGUCAAUGGAGAAUUUAGAUGCGAGUUCAAUGAUUCCAAUAUUGGUCCUUGGAAACGAGCAAAUACAAGUGUAAGUCAUAAGCCUGGUAAGGUUAAAGUAUUGCUGGCUUUUAGAGAGGCACAUUUUAACUGUAAAAUAUUAUUAUCCACAUAUGUCAAAAAAAAA